rnacentral:rRNA from 1 species
UACAGAGGGUGCAAGCGUUGUUCGGAAUUAUUGGGCGUAAAGAGCUCGUAGGCGGUCUGUCACGUCGGCUGUGAAAACCCGAGGCUCAACCUCGGGCCUGCAGUCGAUACGGGCAGACUAGAGUUCGGUAGGGGAGACUGGAAUUCCUGGUGUAGCGGUGAAAUGCGCAGAUAUCAGGAGGAACACCGGUGGCGAAGGCGGGUCUCUGGGCCGAAACUGACGCUGAGGAGCGAAAGCGUGGGGAGCGAACAGG